GGUUAAGCGACUAAGCGUACACGGUGGAUGCCCUGGCAGUCAGAGGCGAUGAAGGACGUGCUAAUCUGCGAUAAGCGUCGGUAAGGUGAUAUGAACCGUUAUAACCGGCGAUUUCCGAAUGGGGAAACCCAGUGUGAUUCGUCACACUAUCAUUACGUGAAUACAUAGCGUAAUGAAGCGAACCGGGGGAACUGAAACAUCUAAGUACCCCGAGGAAAAGAAAUCAACCGAGAUUCCCCCAGUAGCGGCGAGCGAACGGGGAGCAGCCCAGAGUCUGAAUCAGCUUGUGUGUUAGUGGAACGGUCUGGAAAGUCCGACGGUACAGGGUGAUAGUCCCGUACACCAAAAUGCACAGGUUGUGAACUCGAAGAGUAGGGCGGGACACGUGGUAUCCUGUCUGAAUAUGGGGGGACCAUCCUCCAAGGCUAAAUACUCCUGACUGACCGAUAGUGAACCAGUACCGUGAGGGAAAGGCGAAAAGAACCCCGGCGAGGGGAGUGAAAAAGAACCUGAAACCGUGUACGUACAAGCAGUGGGAGCCUCUUUAUGGGGUGACUGCGUACCUUUUGUAUAAUGGGUCAGCGACUUAUAUUCUGUAGCAAGGUUAACCGUAUAGGGGAGCCGAAGGGAAACCGAGUCUUAACUGGGCGUUAAGUUGCAGGGUAUAGACCCGAAACCCGGUGAUCUAGCCAUGGGCAGGUUGAAGGUUGGGUAACACUAACUGGAGGACCGAACCGACUAAUGUUGAAAAAUUAGCGGAUGACUUGUGGCUGGGGGUGAAAGGCCAAUCAAACCGGGAGAUAGCUGGUUCUCCCCGAAAGCUAUUUAGGUAGCGCCUCGUGAA
rnacentral:rRNA from 1 species